rnacentral:lncRNA from 1 species
CCUCCAGGAUAUUACGUGUGCACCGGCGUGGGAUCCUGGAACUGGCAGGAAUUGUGGGUUGUGUUGGUCCCUGAACUCCCAUCGCCUAUGUGAAAUAUGGUUGCUUUUGUGGCUUGGGAGGCCAUGGCCAGCCCCGCGAUGCCAUUGACUGGUGCUGCCAUGGCCACGACUGUUGUUACACUCGAGCUGAGGAGGCCGGCUGCAGCCCCAAGACAGAGCGCUACUCCUGGCAGUGCGUCAAUCAGAGCGUCCUGUGCG